CCUACAAUAAAGGGCUCCCACUCCUGCUGUAUGAAUCUACACAAGUUGUUCGUCACAGCCCCCCCUUAUUUUGCUGCAGCUGGACUGCAGCACCGCUCCUCUGCUUAACAACAACAAAAAAUGUCGCUUUAAGCAACUAGUUUCAAGCAGCCCAUACCUCUAGUCCCAGUCACUCAGGAGACUAAGGCAGGAGGACCCCUUGAGCCCAGGAGUUGGAGGCCAGCGUGGGCAACAUAGUGAGACAAAAGAAGAAAGGAGAGGAAAGGAAGACAAAACUGGAAUCCUGUUCUCCAGCACCUGGGAAGUCAGCACCCUUGGCUCUGGGCUGGGGCUCACACACCGUGGUGUUUUCCAGACUCCCUGCAGUGAGAAACUGUGGCUUCUAACUUGGUUACUGCUGCAGCCCUAGUGGCCACACCCAGCAUUCUUGAAGGGAAAGGCCAAGGUACAGUCUUUGGGCUAGUGAUUGACACUUGGGGCAGGGGCCCUAGACAUACCUGCCUGAGCAGGUCAGUCAGCCACAACCCGGGUCCUACGGGACAGUCACGGAGACUAAAGUACAAUCUGUAAUGAUCUGAGCAUAGAACCUGCUUUUUGCAAAUAAGCGCAAUGAAUUUGUGCACAGUUUUAACACUAAAAUUUCUAAAUUUUUUUUUUCCUUAGGGAUCAUUUUCAAGGUGCUUCUAUGCACAGGUUCAUCUGUGACCUCUGUAUUGUUGCGGCGCAAGCAUUCAGGUUGGUUCACUGUUUUCCCUGCGUUUCUCCUUUACUUUAGAGUUCGGGCAUUUCCAAAUUCACCAUGUAGACAUGUUAUGUGAGCUUACAAUUUCCCUCAGAUAGUAGACAGGAUACUAAAUGUGACCUGUUUGAGGACACUUUGUGUCUGAAGGGGCUGAGACCUCUGGCACUGAGACCUUAAGGCACAUAAAGCAGGGGCCACCUCUGCAGUCCCUGCACCUGAAAUAGUGGAAGGUACCCAAAUAUUUGUUGACUGAAUGACUUCACUAGGACAAUCUUUUGAAGAAGUUAAUACCAGCACUUUGCUGGUAUUAAUAUGUCCUUUGCAUAUAGUAAGUGACCAAUAUAAGUGACCAAGAAAUAAUAUAUAUAUUUCUUGAAUGAAUGCAUGAAAAUGGUUGAGCUUUUAGCAGGAGAGGAAGGCUGUAGGAAUUAUGUUUAAGAUGAUUUUGUCACUUACCCAGCCCUUUGGGAAUUGGGGGAACAUUUUGAGGGGCCCAUGCAGUGAAUUUAAUUCAAGAAAUAGUCUUUGAAGGGAAAUAAAGGUAAGAAAGAAAGGCUUCCGUACUUUCAUUUUGUUUGUUCAUUGAACCAAUGUCUAUCUAUUACCCGCUGUGUGUCAGGUCCUAGGAGGCGAACUAUUCAUGGUAGCAAUAGGCUUUGGGAAAGAGAUGAUUAAAAAAAUACAGCAAUGUACAAAAUAGAAAUGUUUUUAAAAUUAGCUUUAAUCUUCCUUCCCAGAUGAUCUCAGUGACAUUUAAAAAAAUAAUGUAUGUAUAGUCAUUUCCCCUUACACUUGGGGGACACAUUCCAAGACCCCCAUUGGAUAUCUGAAAACUUAGAUGAUACUGAACUAUAAAUACUCUUUUGCCUCAUAUCCGUGAUGAUGUUUAAUUUAUAAAUUAGAAAGUACAAACAA